rnacentral:lncRNA from 1 species
AAUACAUACAGCUGAAAAACCCUAUGUAUUUAACCAAUGUGGUAAAGCCUUUGCAGGAAGGAGUGACCUCCAAAGGCAAAAGAUCAUACAGAAGAGAAAGUCUAUGAAGGCAUCUAAUGUUAUAAAGCCUUUGAAGCAAGCAUUGAUCUCCACGUAUGUAAAUGAACACAUACCAGAGAGGAACCUUUUAAAUGUAACCAACAUGGUAAAGCUUUUUCAAAAACCAAUAGUCUUUACAUACAUAAAAGAAUAUAUACUUGAGAGAAAUGCUUUGACUUUAACCAAUGUGGUUAAACUUUUUCAAAAAGUAGUCAUCAACAAAAUCAUAAAAGAAUACAUAUAGGAGAGAGAUUUUUGAAUGUUAGCAAUGUGCUUUUACACCUUUUUUAACAAAGCAGUGGCCUCAAAAUAUAUAAGGAAACACGUACUGGAGAGAAACCCUAUGAAUAUCGGCAAUGUCCUGAAACCCUUCUACAUCACAAUCAUCUUCAAAUACAUAAAGAACAUGUAGUGGAGAAAAAUCCUCUGAAUAUCACUAAUUAGGUAAAGCAGUUAUAAAGAGUCAUCUCCUAACACAAAAGUAUACACACUGGAUAGAAACCCUAUGAAUAUAAGCAAUGUGGUAAAUGUUUUAUAAGACACAGUAGUCUCUAAGUAAAUAAAAGAAGACACACUUGAGAGAAACCCUAUGAAAGUUAUUAAAGGUACAAACCUUGUACAUUACAAUCUUCAAAUACAUAAAAGAAGACAUAGAAGUGAGAAACCCUAUGUCUGCAAGCCAUGUGGUAUUGCCUUCACUUGUCAAUCAUAUUCAAAGACACAAAAGAAAUCAUAAUGUAGACAAAAUCCUGUGAGAGUAGUUAAUAUGGUGAAGCUU